GACGAACGCUGGCGGCGUGCCUAAUACAUGCAAGUAGAACGCUGAAGAGAGGAGCUUGCUCUUCUUGGAUGAGUUGCGAACGGGUGAGUAACGCGUAGGUAACCUGCCUUGUAGCGGGGGAUAACUAUUGGAAACGAUAGCUAAUACCGCAUAACAAUGGAUGACACAUGUCAUUUAUUUGAAAGGGGCAAUUGCUCCACUACAAGAUGGACCUGCGUUGUAUUAGCUAGUAGGUGAGGUAACGGCUCACCUAGGCGACGAUACAUAGCCGACCUGAGAGGGUGAUCGGCCACACUGGGACUGAGACACGGCCCAGACUCCUACGGGAGGCAGCAGUAGGGAAUCUUCGGCAAUGGGGGCAACCCUGACCGAGCAACGCCGCGUGAGUGAAGAAGGUUUUCGGAUCGUAAAGCUCUGUUGUAAGUCAAGAACGAGUGUGAGAGUGGAAAGUUCACACUGUGGCGGUAGCUUACCAGAAAGGGACGGCUAACUACGUGCCAGCAGCCGCGGUAAUACGUAGGUCCCGAGCGUUGUCCGGAUUUAUUGGGCGUAAAGCGAGCGCAGGCGGUUUGAUAAGUCUGAAGUUAAAGGCUGUGGCUCAACCAUAGUUCGCUUUGGAAACUGUCAAACUUGAGUGCAGAAGGGGAGAGUGGAAUUCCAUGUGUAGCGGUGAAAUGCGUAGAUAUAUGGAGGAACACCGGUGGCGAAAGCGGCUCUCUGGUCUGUAACUGACGCUGAGGCUCGAAAGCGUGGGAAGCGAACAUG
rnacentral:rRNA from 1 species